ACCAUGCUAUGUUGUAAGUCGCUCUGGAUAAGAGCGUCUGCUAAAUGACUUAAA
rfam:Salmo salar isolate Sally breed double haploid chromosome ssa01, whole genome shotgun sequence.